rnacentral:rRNA from 1 species
AGUAAUACAUAAGUAACCUGCCCUAGACAGGGGAUAACUAUUGGAAACGAUAGCUAAGACCGCAUAGGUACGGACACUGCAUGGUGACCGUAUUAAAAGUGCCUCAAAGCACUGGUAGAGGAUGGACUUAUGGCGCAUUAGCUGGUUGGCGGGGUAACGGCCCACCAAGGCGACGAUGCGUAGCCGACCUGAGAGGGUGACCGGCCACACUGGGACUGAGACACGGCCCAG